AUCCUGGCUCAGGAUGAACGCUGGCGGCGUGCUUAACACAUGCAAGUCGAACGAAGACAUCUGAGUGCUUGCACUUGGAUGGACUGAGUGGCGGACGGGUGAGUAACGCGGUGGGUAACCUGCCUUAUACGAGGGGGAUAACAGUUGGAAACGACUGCUAAUACCGCAUAAGCGCACGGUAUCGCAUGAUACAGUGUAGAAAACUCCGGUGGUAUAAGAUGGACCCGCGUCUGAUUAGCUUGUGGUGAGGUAACGGCCCACCAAGGCGACGAUCAGUAGCCGGCCUGAGAGGGUGAACGGCCACAUUGGGACUGAGACACGGCCCAAACUCCUACGGGAGGCAGCAGGUGGGGAAUAUUGCACAAUGGGGGAAACCCUGAUGCAGCGACGCCGCGUGAGCGAAGAAGUAUUUCGGUAUGUAAAGCUCUAUCAGCAGGGAAGAAGAAUGACGGUACCUGACUAAGAAGCACCGGCUAAAUACGUG
rnacentral:rRNA from 1 species